rnacentral:rRNA from 1 species
CGGAUCCGCAUGGAUAUGUUGUUAAAGGUUUACCGCCUUGGGAUAGGCUUGCGUCUGAUUAGCUAGUUGGUGUGGUAAUGGCACACCAAGGCUACGAUCAGUAACUGGUCUGAGAGGAUGAUCAGUCACACUGGAACUGAGACACGGUCCAGACUCCUACGGGAGGCAGCAGUGAGGAAUAUUGGGCAAUGCACGAAAGUGUGACCCAGCAACGCCGCGUGGAGGAUGAAGGUAUUCUAUAUCGUAAACUCCUGUGAGAGCAGACGAAAGACAGAUUAUUAAUUUGGAUGACUGUAUGCUCAGAGGAAGCCCCGGCUAACUACGUG